UACGGAGGGUGCAAGCGUUAAUCGGAAUCACUGGGCGUAAAGCGCGCGUAGGUGGCUAUUUAAGUCAGAUGUGAAAGCCCUGGGCUCAACCUGGGAGGUGCAUCCGAUACUGGGUAGCUAGAGUGUAGUAGAGGGAGGUGGAAUUUCCGGUGUAGCGGUGAAAUGCGUAGAGAUCGGAAGGAACACCAGUGGCGAAGGCGGCCUCCUGGACUAACACUGACGCUGAGGUACGAAAGCGUGGGGAUCAAACAGG
rnacentral:rRNA from 1 species